rnacentral:lncRNA from 1 species
CGUCCGUUGUACUCAACGGGAACCUCUUAGUCUGAUUUUGCUAUUUGACUGUUAAUUGACUGUUUAUCUGCUUGCUUCGAGUGAUUAGAAUUGAUGAUAGAUAUGGAUGAAGACCUCAGAAGGGGGAAAUGGGAGGUUUUUUAUUAGUGUGCUCGCGAAGAUACAGUAAUCUCCUGCCUACGUAUCCUUAUGGUGCAAUAAGGAAAUCAGAGCAUUCGUAGUUCGGGCUACUACGAAUAUU